rnacentral:lncRNA from 1 species
UGCAUUCAUAUAGUCAUAUCCAACGUGCGAACAUAUAUUGGGUAGAAAAUUAGGAAAGGUAAGGUUAAGUCGCGCAACUAGCCUUGGCUAGGUCAAAGGGGUGCCUUGGAUUCUAUCCUUGCCUUCCCCUUUGUCAAACGUGACCCCCGAACCUUUUUCUUUGGCUUACGUGGACUAGGAGUCGUUUUAAAAAGGGUUUUACUACUUUGUCUUUAAAAAACAUUUUUUUUUUUUUUUGGGUGACUUGGUACACCCUAACUCUAUACCAAGUGGCGACUCCAUUUUUGAUACAAAAAACCCUUUUGAACUUCACUUGGCCAAAUCGUCGCAUUCUAAGUCCCAUGGCCUUUUACUUUUUCAUUUUGCACACGUUCACACAUUACACACCACACAUCAUCACUCAAUCGAAUCGAAAAGUGGGGCGCGACAGUUGGCGACUCCACUGGGGACUCCCUAAGUGGGUCCGAGCAUUUGACUUAGCCAUUCGUUUCCUUUUUCUACCCUUUUUAUGCAUUGCAUUUGGAUAUUAGGGUUGCAUUUUUUGUUUUAGGACUUUUUCGCAUCGCGCGCGUAUCA